rnacentral:rRNA from 1 species
GCAGCCGCCGCGGUAAUACAGAGGUCUCAAGCGUUGUUCGGAUUCAUUGGGCGUAAAGGGUGCGUAGGUGGCUUGGUAAGUUGAAGGUGAAAUCUCGAGGCUUAACUCCGAAACUGCCUUCAAUACUGCUGAGCUCGAGGAUUGUAGAGGAGAAUGGAAUUCACGGUGUAGCAGUGAAAUGCGUAGAUAUCGUGAGGAAGACCAGUGGCGAAGGCGAUUCUCUGGGCAAUUCCUGACACUGAGGCACGAAGGCCAGGGGAGCAAACGGGAUUAGAGACCCCCGUAGUCCCUGUCUCUUAUAC